rnacentral:rRNA from 1 species
AUGAACGUGAACACCUCGGCGGCGCCCACCUACACUGCGGCACCUCCCAGAAGUACACGUGAACGUCCUCGUGGAUACUGCGAGCACCGUGAAGUGCUCCGAAAGCGGCCGGCGGCGAGCAGCUGUGAUCGGCGUCUAGCAUUUCCAGCACGAGGCGGCGAUGACGGGCUUUCCCUUCCAUCCAAGCACGAGGCAUCCCUUCUCCUCGGCCACCGUGUAUCCGCUGCCGCCGGCGUUCUCCUCCAGCCACUCCCGCGCCUUGGCCGCCAUCUUGAAGGGCAUGGCCUGGAAGCCCGCGCGGCUCAUGCGGCGCCGCCACUGGUCCGCGCGCUCGUGCCGCUCCACGCGCGCCGCGCCCUCGCACCCGACCACGUUGCGGAUCUCGGCGCCGAAGUGGAACUGCUCCACGCGCGCGCGCCGGGCGUCGUAGCGCGGGAGCGCCGCGUCGAGGGCGUCGAACAGCGCGGCGUAGUAGUGGAGCGCCUCCAUGAACCGCCCCAGGAAGAAGGGCCCGUUGUGGCCGGCGUCCUGCUCCACGAGCACGAACGCCUUCGGCGAGAGCUUGCGGAUAGUCUGCAGCACCGAGUUGAGCGCGCCGCGGCUCUCCUUCACCACGCAGUGCAGCUCCAGGACGCUGUUGAUGGCCACGGCCUCGUCGGCCUCGACGCCAAGGUCGUCCACGUGGAGGCUCUCCAGGGUGCGGUCGACGGCCAUGAACUCGAGGGUCAUCCCGAGCUCCUCCGCGUACGCCUCGAGCUCGCGCCCGACGGCUCUCAUGGUGUCUACGCGGGCGCCGACGCCGGUGACGCGAACGCGCGCCGGCUUGCCGCUGGCCCGUGUGGCGAGGCUGUCGAGCAGGGCGCGCCACUGGUGGCCGCGGUUCAAGCCCAUCGUCAUGCCGAGGUCCACCACGUGGACGUUGGUCUCUCCCUCGAAGGCUUCCAGGAUGGACGUGUUCGCCACGAAGUGCGCGAAGCGCAGGUACGGGCACAGCUCGUACGCCACGGCGAGCGCCUCGCCGCGCGCCCCGUCGAGGCACGACGACCGCGGGACACAGAACGCCAUGCUGGCCGGGCCCAACGCCGGCGGGUGCGCCAGGGCCAGCCGGUCCGCCAGGCCCUGCACGAAGCACGACGCGACGCGCUGGAACGCCGUGCCGUGCACGGGCGCGCCAACCUGCAGCUCACGCAGCAGCGCAGCCGCCUGCGCGCGAUCGCGGCACGCCACGGCCUCGGCGCAGGCGACAAGCAGCUGCACGAGCCGCAUGCCAUCAGCUCCGCUGCCGCCACCGCCGGCCCGGACGUCGUCCACGGCGACCAGCGCCUCACCUUGUUCCUCGAACCCGCCACUGCCGACCGGCGAUGA